rnacentral:rRNA from 1 species
AAGCCAUACCAUGCUGAAUAUACCGGUUCUCGUUAGAUCACCGAAGUCAAGCAUCAUUGGGCUCGGUCAGUACUUGGGUGGGUGACCACCUGGGAACAUCGCGUGCCGUU